GGUUCGGUCCCAUGCAACGCGCUGCGGAGGCAUCGGGUCAGAUGGGAGACCAAGCAGCCCACCUGCGUUUGCCCGUGUGCCGUGGGUCGCCGAACCGGA
rnacentral:SRP_RNA from 1 species